rnacentral:rRNA from 1 species
GUGCCAGCAGCCGCGGUAAUACGUAGGGUGCAAGCGUUAAUCGGAAUUACUGGGCGUAAAGCGUGCGCAGGCGGUUUUGUAAGUCUGUCGUGAAAGCCCCGGGCUCAACCUGGGAAUUGCGAUGGAGACUGCAAGGCUUGAAUCUGGCAGAGGGGGGUAGAAUUCCACGUGUAGCAGUGAAAUGCGUAGAGAUGUGGAGGAACACCGAUGGCGAAGGCAGCCCCCUGGGUCAAGAUUGACGCUCAUGCACGAAAGCGUGGGGAGCAA